rnacentral:rRNA from 1 species
ACGAACGCUGGCGGCGUGGAUAAGACAUGCAAGUCGAACGAGAGAAUUGCUAGCUUGCUAAUAAUUCUCUAGUGGCGCACGGGUGAGUAACACGUGAGUAACCUGCCCCCGAGAGCGGGAUAGCCCUGGGAAACUGGGAUUAAUACCGCAUAGUAUCGAAAGAUUAAAGCAGCAAUGCGCUUGGGGAUGGGCUCGCGGCCUAUUAGUUAGUUGGUGAGGUAACGGCUCACCAAGGCGAUGACGGGUAGCCGGUCUGAGAGGAUGUCCGGCCACACUGGAACUGAGACACGGUCCAGACACCUACGGGUGGCAGCAGUCGAGAAUCAUUCACAAUGGGGGAAACCCUGAUGGUGUGACGCCGCGUGGGGGAAUGAAGGUCUUCGGAUUGUAAACCCCUGUCAUGUGGGAGCAAAUUAAAAAGAUAGUACCACAAGAGGAAGAGACGGCUAACUCUGUGCCAGCAGCCGCGGUAAUACAGAGGUCUCAAGCGUUGUUCGGAAUCACUGGGCGUAAAGCGUGCGUAGGCUGUUUCGUAAGUCGUGUGUGAAAGGCGCGGGCUCAACCCGCGGACGGCACAUGAUACUGCGAGACUAGAGUAAUGGAGGGGGAACCGGAAUUCUCGGUGUAGCAGUGAAAUGCGUAGAUAUCGAGAGGAACACUCGUGGCGAAGGCGGGUUCCUGGACAUUAACUGACGCUGAGGCACGAAGGCCAGGGGAGCGAGAGGGAUUAGAUACCCCUGUAGUCCUGGCAGUAAACGGUGCACGCUUGGUGUGCGGGGAAUCGACCCCCUGCGUGCCGGAGCUAACGCGUUAAGCGUGCCGCCUGGGGAGUACGGUCGCAAGAUUAAAACUCAAAGAAAUUGACGGGGACCCGCACAAGCGGUGGAGUAUGUGGCUUAAUUCGAUGCAACGCGAAGAACCUUACCUGGGCUUGACAUGUAAUGAACAACAUGUGAAAGCAUGCGACUCUUCGGAGGCGUUACACAGGUGCUGCAUGGCCGUCGUCAGCUCGUGUCGUGAGAUGUUUGGUUAAGUCCAGCAACGAGCGCAACCCCUGUUGCCAGUUACCAGCACGUGAAGGUGGGGACUCUGGCGAGACUGCCCAGAUCAACUGGGAGGAAGGUGGGGACGACGUCAGGUCAGUAUGGCCCUUAUGCCCAGGGCUGCACACGUACUACAAUGCCCAGUACAGAGGGGGCCGAAGCCGCGAGGCGGAGGAAAUCCUGAAAACUGGGCCCAGUUCGGACUGUAGGCUGCAACCCGCCUACACGAAGCCGGAAUCGCUAGUAAUGGCGCAUCAGCUACGGCGCCGUGAAUACGUUCCCGGGUCUUGUACACACCGCCCGUCACAUCAUGGAAGCCGGUCGCACCCGAAGUAUCUGAAGCCAACCGCAAGGAGGCAGGGUCCUAAGGUGAGACUGGUAACUGGGAUG